rnacentral:rRNA from 1 species
GAUGAACGCUGGCGGCAUGCCUAAUACAUGCAAGUCGAACGGGUAGCGGACGGGCGAAUAAGGUCUGGGAACCUGCCCGACGGAGGGGGCUAACUAGUGGAAACGGUAGCUAAUACUGCAUACCAUCCGAUGUGCCCAGAGGGGAUGAGCUAGGUGGUGGGGUAACGGCUCACCUAGGCGACGAUGCCUAGCUGGUCUGAGAGGAUGACCGGCCACACUGGAACUGAGACACGGGCCAGACUCCUACGGGAGGCAGCAGUAGGGAAUAUUCCACAAUGGGCGAAAGCCUGAUGGAGCCACGCCGCGUGAGUGAAGAAGGCCUUCGGAUUGUAAAACACUGUCAGUAGGGAAGCGGUACCCACACAGAAAGCCCCGGCUAACUCCGUGCCAGCCGCCGCGGUAAUAC